UACAAAUAUAUAAUUAUCCGUCUAUAAGAAAAGCAGUCCGCUUUUUGAAGGCUGUCUUUUGUUUCAUGUUUAUUAACAUGUAUCUGACAUACAUGAUUCACAGAGGUUUUAUGUUGUUACACAAACAAUUGGAUUGAGUAUAAGCUUGUGUCACUUUCUAACCUAUCAAUGUGCAUGUACAGCAAUGGGACCUUUGUAACUUCAGUCACUUCUAAUAACUUGAGAUGGGGAGUUCAACAUGGGGUUGAACGAUAAGAAAUAGUAAGAAUUCAAUGGGGCUGGGUGUAUGGCGCAACAGUUAAGAGUAGAGUGCUUGCUCAUUAGGUUCGGUGGUAGCGCCUUUACCAGCUGAGCCAUCUUGCCAGGCCUCAUUUAAUGAAAUCUUUUUUUUUAUUCGAUAUAUUUUUUAUUUUCAUUUCAAAUGAUUUCCCCUUUUCUGGUUCCCCACUCCCCGAAAGUCCCAUAAGCCCUCUUCCCUCCCCCUAUUCCCUCAUCCAACCCUUCCCACUUCUGUGUUCUGGUAUUCCCCUAUACUGCUGCACUGAGUCUUUCCAGAACCAGGGGCCACUCCUCCGUUCCUCUUGGACAUCAAUUAAUAUGUGGAUUAUGUCUUAGGUAUUCCACAUUUCUAGGCUAAUAUCCACUUAUCUUAAUGAAAUCUUUGAGAAGCUCUUUUAUUGAGUCCUUAAAACAUCUCUCAAAAAGUAUUUUUAGAACAUUCCUCAAAUAGUAUUUGUAGCAGCAUUAUUAUUCAUGUAUCAGAAGAAUUGUAUUUAUUUUUCAUUUCAGGUUAAUUUGAAGUUUUGGGUGAUGGUAAAAGUUACUCAGAUAUGGUAGUGUGUACCUGUCUGUCCAUACACUCAGGGAGUUGAGUUUUUAAACCCAUGAGUUCAAGACCAGUCUGGUAACAAACAAGACUUCAUCUCAUCAAUACCUUCAGAAGGAUUUUCUCUUCGAAUCUUGGAUAUUUGGAGUAGAAGCUUGGCAAUAAUAAAACACUACGACUUGCGAAUGCUCACAGCAUUCUCAAUGCUACGCUGAGUCCUCCACAUUUAUUAUCCAGUUCAGUUCUUACAGCAGCUCCAUGAAAUAUGUCGUUGUUCUGCCCAGAUGAGGGCAGAAGCUUAAAACUAUGACAUGGCAUGGAAACAGUCUACCCACUGUAGUGUAGGACACAAGCCUCUGCUUUAUGGUGCCAUUGUAGCUGUAAACGAAUCAGAGACGACUUCAGCUCAGUAUUCUAAGAAUACCUGGGUCACAGUCCUUCAACCAUAGCCCAGUUGAGGCCAUCAUUCUAGGCCAUCAGUCUAAGCCAUCAUUCUAGGCCAUCAGUCUAGGCUAUCAGUCUAGGCUAUAAGUCAUCAGGCUCUAGCACAGUGGUAUGCCUACCAUAUGCACUUCUUUCUAGAUAUCAGUCCUAUAAGCUCAGCCUUGGUUCAAGAAAUCCCCAGGUUGGAGUAUAACUCAACAACUGCAGACACAUCUAAAAAUGUGCUCCAGUGUUUGGACCUACACGACUGUAAGAAAUGUCUAUAGCUCAAAGCCAGGGUAAGUCUCCCAAGAUCAUCUUGCCUUCAUUGGUCCAUUCCUUUGGUCUUUAGUCUCUGUCAUUCAUUUCCCAUCUCAUAUACAUGGUAUUCUUUACCAAAUCCUCUUUUCAUUUCCUUUGUUGAUGUCAUUUUGGGGACAGGGUCUCAUAUAGCUCAGGCUGGCCCCGAGCUGCUCUAGAGCUGAGGAUGACUGUGAACUUCUGACCCCUUACUGUAGCCAUUUCUGGGAUUACAGCCAUGCACCACCACACUCAGCCAAACCAUGUUUCUUGAUUGAAAUAGAAACAUAUAUCUAAAUAUGAAAAACAUUGUUUGAAUUAUGAGUUAAUUUCUAGGGUAGCAGUAUGUGCCUAAUAUUUUCCCUUUCUUCUACCCACAGGAUUUUAAUCUCUGCUUUGGAUAUAUUGGACAUUCCAAAGUAUUUAUAAAUGGUUUUAUUUUUAUAGUUUUCAGAGGAAAUAUAUCCUGAUGACAGUGAUAUCCAGAGAACUCCAGAAGAUCAUUAUUGGAGAAAAGCUCUGAAAUAUUUAUUAGAUUUAUUACCGUUUGGAGUAAAAAUGGAAAAUACAGCUUAGUUUUGCUUUGAAGAGGAAAAGUUAUUUUUCAAUAAACAACUGCAUUCCAGGUCAUUUUGAUUUCUAUUUGUGAGUCUAUCCCUUAGCUCUGGGAAGAUUUCAUUUACCUCUUAUGAUGCUGUGAUAGCUUCUGGGUAAAGUAGACCAAGGAAAUUCUUCUUAUUGUGUUUAUUUUGUAUAUAUUUAUGUCACAUAAUUGAGUUGGAUUAUGUAUCAGUUACCCCUGGAGACAGUUUCUGGUUGUAUUUCAUAUGAAGUACAUAAGAGUGAUUACUGCAAAAACAAAAUUUCGGUGGACUCAAAUAAUAUAGCUGUAUUUCUAGUUUAUGUCAGAUCACAAAGAGAUGUUUUGAUAUAUUAGCAAUUUGGUUUGUGGUCCAUCAGGAACCACAACUUUUACAUCCUAUCCAUAUCCAAUCAGAAAGUAAAGGAAAAGAGAGACUCUGAAUGAAAGUUUAAACCAUAGAAUAAGAAGUCCAGGAGGAGUUCUGUCAUAGAGCAUAUACAAGGGGGGUGGUAAUGGCCUCUAACUGUUCGCUCAGUACCGGCAGGCGGGCAUUCUAGUAAGGACACAGCAAUGCCACCAUGAGGUGAUCUGCAGAAUUAGAUUUCAUGUGCAAUUUCUAUAUUUUCUAGAAAGAAUAUAUUUUUCAGAGCUAUCCAAAUGGCAGACCAUGACCUCAGAGAAAUAAAGACUAAGAUAAGACAAUAAAAUCAUACUGAUCAUAGCAACCAGCACCUGUUUCCCACUGACCUAUUUAUUAAACAUCAACUAUUUCAGGCACUAUUUCAAGUAGUCAGAACUGGGACCAUUUCAAAUAGGAGCUAUAAGGGGCUUUUGGUGAACUCAAAAUGAAGUGGGGGAGGGGUGAAGGGGAGAAAGGGCUAAAGGAAGAUUCCAGGAAGAGUCAUCCUGUGCCAGUGAAUAGAUGAAAGCGACACAUUGCAGUGGAAAAGACUACAGAGGAACAGUUUGGGGGUAGUUCAUGUAGUUAAAUCUGUGACACUUUGGGUAUCCCACUUAGAAGAGUCAAAUAUACAGCCAAAUAAAUAAGCCUGAGAGUCUAGGAAACAGGUCAGACUAGAAAUCUGGGAGAGUUAAUCAAAGAGGAAGCAUUGAAAAAAAAAUCUAAACAAGAAUGAGAUAAUCAGAGAGGGAGUCAACUCAAAUAAAGAGAGAUGGACGGAGUUCCAGGGAACUACUAGUAGAAAGAUGCGAUGGAACCAGAAAGGGAAACUUAGAACAAACUGAAAAUAAGGGAAGAGAAAGGCGGAAGCAACUCCAUCUAACAGCCAUGUUGAGUUAGGAAACAUCUUGCAAGGAUGAUUCAUUGUACUAGCAGCUAACUGAUUGGGGGGGGGGGUUGGAUUAAGGGAUGGUUCUAGAUUUAUCUAUGCAGAGAGUCAUGAUGCUCUUCCCUAGAGUUUCUUUGGUGUAGUGGGAGGAGCCUCUGAAGUGAGAUGAAAGAGAACAGAGAGCGUGAGCUUGGAGAGUGAAACUGUUCUAAAAGAUGGACAGUAGGCUUGCUUUUGAACUAUAGUGAGCAGGAUGGGAUGGAACUAGAGUGUAAGGAAGAGAGGAGACCUUGCAGUGGGAGCAGGGCCACUUAUUUUGGAAAAUCAGAUUAACAAUGACACAAACUUCCGCAUGGUACGUGGCAAAGCUAAAUGAAUGGUCUUUCCAGUGCAUUUUUGACUUAAGAUAUGAGCCAGCACAGGGGUGGGACUCGGAUAAAACACGGCCUCUAGGGAGAGCUGGAACUGGAGACUUGCACAUUAUGUAGUCCAGACUGAAACAGGAAGCCUGAUUUUUAAUAGCUUUGACUUACAAAAUUAAUAUCCCUCCAAAGACAAUUCACCUGUUGCCAAAGCUGGUGCCCGGCUUUGGAUGCUCACAGUGAGGCCUUUGGGUUUUGUUGUUGUUGUUGUUGUUGUUUCCAUAUUUCUUUUUUUUUCCUCCUUCUUUUCUAGAGGCUUCUGACCUUUCACCCUUGACUGCUAAAGGGAAGUCUAUCUCCUACAUGAGACAUUUGCCAAAUGCAAAAUUGAAAGAGAACAAGAAGAGGAGAGACAUUUUGGGUCGAAUGCAUUUCUCUUAGCCUCAGACUCCCCCAAAUCCCUUUGUGUACACAUAAUAAAUACUCUGUUUACAUCUUGUAGUUUAGACCACAUAAUUUUGAAAUCAAGCUCUUCAAAGCAUUCUCUUCUGGUUAGGCAAGGUUGGAAACCAGUUCUGUCAGAAGUCCAUAUAUAGCCAUUAAGAAAAAUUAGGUAACCAAAGAUGUCUAGCUCAUUCUAUCAUAAGCUCAGAUGUCAGUAUUCAGCGAGGGCUAUUGCCGUGAAUGGUUUUCUAACUUGUUUCUAUAACAUUUUUAUUUUCAGAUUCUACAGAUUAAAGUUUCCAUUCAGCAUUACUAAGAAGCAAGAAGUAUAGACAUCAUUUGCUCAUAAAGAGAAUAAUAAAAUAUUCAGUACUGUACACUGUGUAUAUAGAUAGUAUUGGCUGAUAAUAGGAUAAAAUAAUUUAAAGAACACUGUUUUGGCUGGUUUUGUGUGUCAACUUGACACAGGCUGGAGUUAUCACAGAGAAAGGGGCUUCAGUUGGGGAAGUGCCUCUAUGAGAUCCAGCUGUGGGCAUUUUCUUAAUUAGUGAUCAAGGGGGAGGGACCCUUGUGAGUGGUACCAUCCCUGGACUGGUGCUCUUGGGUUCUAUAAGAGAGCAGGCUGAGUAAGCCAGGGGAAACAAGCCAGUAAGAAACAUCCCUCCAUGGCCUCUGCAUCAGCUCCUGCUUCCUGACCUGCUUGAGUUCCAGUCCUGACUUCCUUUGGUGAUGAACAGCAAUGCAGAACUGAUCAGGCUCAAGAAACCAACUUGGAUCAGCUGGGCUGUUCAUGAGGAGUCUGCGCCGACACUCUGCUAUGUUUAGAAGGUUGAUGGCCUGAAGGUUACCCUGCAUGACACUUUGUUCCAAUUUCUGUGACUAGGGAGGCCAGGUAUAUUGAGGAUAGAGUCUAACUUAUAUACUCCAAAGUGUCUUCAGACUCACAAUUCUUUUUUCUCUGCCUCCCAAGUUCUGGGAUCACAGUCAGAUGCCACCACACCAAACUUAUCAUUCCAGAGGGAUAUGGGAUCAUCAUCAAAGAGGCAGGGCAACACGUGUCAGCCAUGGCAGCCAGAGUGGGAAGUUCACCUCUUCGACCUGAAGCAUGAAGGAGAUG